ACGAACGUGUAUGAAAAAAUAAUACGUUUUUUUUAUUUUUAUUUUGGUUGGUUAUUGUAUCUUGUUUAUAGCUUUGCAAACAUUAAUUGAGUAACGGCGUUGAUGGCGCGGAUCGUUGGCAUUUGGUGGAAUCGAGUCUAUAAUUAUUAUAUCAUAAAAACACUUCUACAGUUUCAAAAUUUAUAUAUAUUUUACAUAAAACUAGACCGUUUAAGGUGUAUUAGAAACUAAAAGACUGUAUAAGAACACAUCUAUUUCACUAAAGAUAUGCAUAUUACUUGUUCUAUUGAAGCAAAUGGUUUGAAUGGAGUAAAUACAAUGAUAACAGGGUCAAUGUGACGACAACAUUACGCAGAACACAAACUCAGAUAAAAUUCAUAAAUGUGUGUAUAUAUUAACAUUUUAUCUAUUCAUAGUAAAAAAACAAAGGCAGCGUAUCUUAUCUGUGGCUCAUUAUUGGAAUCGAGUUGAUUAAAAACAGCAUAUUUUUAAUGGAAUAAUAAUCCCGCCUGCGGUAAAAAUAGUGAUAAAAAUAUCACAGAUUAAAAAUAGCAUAUUUUUUAUGGAUAAUAAAGGAAUAGUAACCCCGCCUGCAUUAUCUGUAUACGCUGACGGGAUACCAGUGAGAGAUGACAAGUGAGGAUAGAAAAAUCAAGUUAUCGUGCUAAAUACACCUGGAAUUUAGAACAAUGGUUUCCAGAGCGGACCGCGGAGAAUUUGAAUUGACAGAAUAUAUUACUAACAAUGAGGCUGUUAGACCCCAUUACUAAAAAACUCUUAUCUCCAAAAACAGCAUGUUGUGUAAUAAGACUGAAUCAGUAAUGUGAAACGUAAUUUCUUUUUUCAAGAACAAACACUUUGGUAAUAAGUAAAUAAGCUAACGAUAAUGGCCUAUGUGAUAAGAACUUGAUAACCGUCGCCUAUAAGAUGAAGUCAAAGACAUUAGCAGUACUUAUCGUUAGCGGUACAUAAAACUAAACUACUGAAGCUUUAAAAUAAUUAUAAAAACAAACAUAUUUUACGGUCAUUUUUGAAUCACGGCAGAAAUGUCAUGAACCAAAAAUUUUAAAAAAAUUGGAUCAUGCUGAACGCGCCGUACAUUAUUAGCAUUACCUUUAUUGGAGUGGAUUCAGUGGCAGGCUUCAGCUUGGCGCGCCCCGCGCCCCCUGCCUGCCGAAUAGCAGCCAUCAGGUUUGCGUGGGCGUCGCCAGCCACCGACGGAGGCGAUUGGACCGAACUUUUUUCUUCUCUGUACAAAUAAAAUUAUAAACAUUGUUACUGCCGCGUA